CGGCAGCCGGACCUCAUGGAGAGGAUGGGGGAUAGAGUCCUGACAUGGGAACAGAUCUUCCUUGGACCCAAGGUUUGGAUAAGGGGGAAGCCUGUCAUCACCAUCAUUGACAACCCUCUUUCUGGGCAACCGGAGAGAUGCAUGAAACACCAGAGUGCUACACUGUCCCCACAAAAAUACAAAUUUGAUAUAAAGACUAUCAAAGUUGGCUCAUUUGUGGAGACAGCCC